CGCCGGAAGACCAAGGGUUCCUGUCCAACGUUAAUCGGGGCAGGGUGAGUCGACCCCUAAGGCGAGGCCGAAAGGCGUAGUCGAUGGGAAACGGGUUAAUAUUCCCGUACUUGGUGUUACUGCGAAGGGGGGACGGAGAAGGCUAUGUUGGCCGGGCGACGGUUGUCCCGGUUUAAGCGUGUAGGUGUGUGUUCCAGGUAAAUCCGGUUCACUUUAACACUGAGGCGUGACGACGAGGCACUACGGUGCUGAAGCAACAAAUGCCCUGCUUCCAGGAAAAGCCUCUAAGCAUCAGGUAACACGAAAUCGUACCCCAAACCGACACAGGUGGUCAGGUAGAGAAUACCAAGGCGCUUGAGAGAACUCGGGUGAAGGAACUAGGCAAAAUGGUGCCGUAACUUCGGGAGAAGGCACGCUGACACGUAGGUGAAGUGAUUUACUCAUGGAGCUGAAGUCAGUCGAAGAUACCAGCUGGCUGCAACUGUUUAUUAAAAACACAGCACUGUGCAAACACGAAAGUGGACGUAUACGGUGUGACGCCUGCCCGGUGCCGGAAGGUUAAUUGAUGGGGUCAGCGCAAGCGAAGCUCCUGAUCGAAGCCCCGGUAAACGGCGGCCGUAACUAUAACGGUCCUAAGGUAGCGAAAUUCCUUGUCGGGUAAGUUCCGACCUGCACGAAUGGCGUAAUGAUGGCCAGGCUGUCUCCACCCGAGACUCAGUGAAAUUGAACUCGCUGUGAAGAUGCAGUGUACCCGCGGCAAGACGGAAAGACCCCGUGAACCUUUACUAUAGCUUGACACUGAACAUUGAGCCUUGAUGUGUAGGAUAGGUGGGAGGCUUUGAAGUGUGGACGCCAGUCUGCAUGGAGCCGACCUUGAAAUACCACCCUUUAAUGUUUGAUGUUCUAACGUGGACCCGUGAUCCGGGUUGCGGACAGUGUCUGGUGGGUAGUUUGACUGGGGCGGUCUCCUCCUAAAGAGUAACGGAGGAGCACGAAGGUUGGCUAAUCCUGGUCGGACAUCAGGAGGUUAGUGCAAUGGCAUAAGCCAGCUUGACUGCGAGCGUGACGGCGCGAGCAGGUGCGAAAGCAGGUCAUAGUGAUCCGGUGGUUCUGAAUGGAAGGGCCAUCGCUCAACGGAUAAAAGGUACUCCGGGGAUAACAGGCUGAUACCGCCCAAGAGUUCAUAUCGACGGCGGUGUUUGGCACCUCGAUGUCGGCUCAUCACAUCCUGGGGCUGAAGUAGGUCCCAAGGGUAUGGCUGUUCGCCAUUUAAAGUGGUACGCGAGCUGGGUUUAGAACGUCGUGAGACAGUUCGGUCCCUAUCUGCCGUGGGCGCUGGAGAACUGAGGGGGGCUGCUCCUAGUACGAGAGGACCGGAGUGGACGCAUCACUGGUGUUCGGGUUGUCAUGCCAAUGGCACUGCCCGGUAGCUAAAUGCGGAAGAGAUAAGUGCUGAAAGCAUCUAAGCACGAAACUUGCCCCGA
rnacentral:rRNA from 1 species